CCUACGGGUGGCAGCAGUGAGGAAUAUUGGUCAAUGGGCGGAAGCCUGAACCAGCCAAGUAGCGUGCAGGAUGACGGCCCUACGGGUUGUAAACUGCUUUUAUACGGGAAUAACGCGCCUUACGUGUAGGGCUUUGCAUGUACCGUAUGAAUAAGGACCGGCUAAUUCCGUGCCAGCAGCCGCGGUAAUACGGAAGGUCCGGGCGUUGUCCGGAUUUAAUGGGUUUAAAGGGAGCGUAGGCCGGAUGUCAAGCGUGCUGUGAAAUGUCCGGGCUCAACCCGGGUCUUGCAGCGCGAACUGGCGUGCUUGAGUCCGCGGAAGGAAAGCGGAAUUCGUCGUGUAGCGGUGAAAUGCUUAGAUAUGACGAAGAACCCCGAUUGCGAAGGCAGCUUGCUGCAGCGGAACUGACGCUGAUGCUCGAAAGCGCGGGUAUCGAACAGGAUUAGAUACCCUGGUAGUC
rnacentral:rRNA from 1 species